GAUGAAGAACGUAGCGAAAUGCGAUAAGUAGUGUGAAUUGCAGAAUUCAGUGAAUCAUCGAAUCUUUGAACGCACAUUGCGCCCCUUGGUAUUCCAUGGGGCAUGCCUGUUCGAGCGUCAUUUGUACCUUCAAGCUCUGCUUGGUGUUGGGUGUUUGUCUCGCCUCUGCGCGUAGACUCGCCUCAAAACAAUUGGCAGCCGGCGUAUUGAUUUCGGAGCGCAGUACAUCUCGCGCUUUGCACUCAUAACGACGACGUCCAAAAGUACAUUUUUACACUCUUGACCUCGGAUCAGGUAGGGAUACCCGCUGAACUUAAGCAUAUCAAUAAGCGGGGGA
rnacentral:misc_RNA from 1 species